rnacentral:rRNA from 1 species
AGAGGGNNCGGCCCUCGGCAUACUGCUCUCUAACACGUGGACAACCUACCCUCAGGUGGGGGAUAAUCUCGGGAAACUGAGGAUAAUACCCCAUAGAUAUCCGAUGCUGGAAUGCCUGGAUGUUUAAAGCCCUGGCGCCUGAGGAUGGGUCUGCGGCCUAUCAGGUAGUAGUGAGUGUAACGAACUCACUAGCCUACGACGGGUACGGGCCUUGAGAGAGGUAACCCGGAGAUGGACUCUGAGACACGAGUCCAGGCCCUACGGGGCGCAGCAGGCGCGAAAACUUCGCAAUGUGGGAAACCGCGACGAGGGAAUCCCGAGUGCCUAUACGUUUGUAUAGGCUGUUUAUGUGCCUAAAAAGCACGUAGAGUAAGAGCUGGGUAAGACCGGUGCCAGCCGCCGCGGUAAUACCGGCAGCUCGAGUGGUGAUCGUUAUUAUUGGGCCUAAAGCGUCCGUAGCCGGUUGAGUAAAUCCCUGGGUAAAUCGACGGGCUCANCCCGUCGACUUCCGGGGANACUGCUCGACUUGGGACCGGGAGAGGUUGAGGUACUCNAGGGUAGGGUGAAAUCCUGUAUCCCUGGAGACUACCUGUGGCGAAGCGUCCACUAAACG